CCCUUAGACGUUCUGGGCCGCACGCGCGCUACACUGACGAUGGCAACGAGUUUUUCCUUCGCCGAAAGGUGUGGGUAAUCUUUUGAAACAUCGUCGUGCUGGGGAUAGAUCAUUGCAAUUUUUGAUCUUGAACGAGGAAUUCCUAGUAAGCGCGAGUCAUCAGCUCGCGUUGAUUACGUCCCUGCCCUUUGUACACACCGCCCGUCGCUACUACCGAUUGAAUGGUUUAGUGAGGACUCCUGAUUGGCGCCGCCGCCCCGGCAACGGAGCAGCGGACUGCCGAAAAGUUGUUCAAACUUGAUCAUUUAGAGGAAGUAAAAGUCGUAACA
rnacentral:rRNA from 1 species